rnacentral:rRNA from 1 species
GCAUUAUACCGUGAAACUGCGAAUGGCUCAUUAAAUCAGUUAUCGUUUAUUUGAUAGUACCUUACUACUUGGAUAACCGUGGUAAUUCUAGAGCUAAUACAUGCUAAAAACCCCGACUUCGGGAGGGGUGUAUUUAUUAGAUAAAAAACCAAUGCCCUUCGGGGCUCUUUGGUGAUUCAUGAUAACUUAACGGAUCGCAUGGCCUUGCGCUGGCGACGGUUCAUUCAAAUUUCUGCCCUAUCAACUUUCGAUGGUAAGGUAUUGGCUUACCAUGGUUUCAACGGGUAACGGGGAAUUAGGGUUCGAUUCCGGAGAGGGAGCCUGAGAAACGGCUACCACAUCCAAGGAAGGCAGCAGGCGCGCAAAUUACCCAAUCCCGACUCGGGGAGGUAGUGACAAUAAAUACUGAUACAGGGCUCUUUUGGGUCUUGUAAUCGGAAUGAGUACAAUUUAAACCCCUUAACGAGGAACAAUUGGAGGGCAAGUCUGGUGCCAGCAGCCGCGGUAAUUCCAGCUCCAAUAGCGUAUAUUAAAGUUGUUGCAGUUAAAAAGCUCGUAGUUGAACCUUGGGCCUGGCUGGCCGGUCCGCCUCACCGCGUGUACUGGUCCGGCCGGGCCUUUCCUUCUGGAGAGCCGCAUGCCCUUCACUGGGUGUGUCGGGGAACCAGGACUUUUACUUUGAAAAAAUUAGAGUGUUCAAAGCAGGCCUUUGCUCGAAUACGUUAGCAUGGAAUAAUAGAAUAGGACGUGCGGUCCUAUUUUGUUGGUUUCUAGGACCGCCGUAAUGAUUAAUAGGGAUAGUCGGGGGCAUCAGUAUUCAAUUGUCAGAGGUGAAAUUCUUGGAUUUAUUGAAGACUAACUACUGCGAAAGCAUUUGCCAAGGAUGUUUUCAUUAAUCAGUGAACGAAAGUUAGGGGAUCGAAGACGAUCAGAUACCGUCGUAGUCUUAACCGUAAACUAUGCCGACUAGGGAUCGGGCGAUGUUUCUAUCUUGACUCGCUCGGCACCUUACGAGAAAUCAUAAG